CCAAAACAAGGUUAUUCAUUCUGCAACCAUUUAUUUCCUUGGUUUAUUCCCCUCAUAAACCUGUGUAAGGUGAACAGACAUAUUCCCUCUCCUCUGGUUGCCUAGCGAUGAUGGGGCCCAUCCCUGACCCCACCCCCACCCACCAACACACAAACACACACACCACUUGGUGCCCUCAUCUCCAUCCCUCUCCCCGUCUCCACCCUAAACAUAACGCCUUAGCUGUUAAACCUGAACUGUCCUUAACGUUUAUCCAUCAAACUCCCUGCGGUCGCUGCCUCCAUCCACAGACUAACAGUUGAUAUACAGUGUGUUACCAUUGUGAGCAAAGUAUAUAAAUAAACCUGAAUUCAUAUAGCGACUGGUAUGGGUGAGAAGUCAGAAAUGUAAGCUUCAACACGUUUAACAGGUUGUGAAUCUAAUCAAUUAGCCUACCGAUGACUCAUCAUUGACUCACGAACCAUGCGCGGUUUAACACAACACACACAGCGCUGUAUAACACAACACAUCACUGUAAAGCAGGACACACCAUUGUAUUAUUCAUAACAUUUUCAGGUUAACAUUUGCAGGUGCAUGUCAUUUUCACUGCGCCUGUGACAAAGGGAAACGAUAGCAGCAAAUUCCAAACCACUAAGCGGCAGCGGCGGAAGGAGGACUGUCAGGCAGAGCAGGAGGACCACGGAGCUACAGCUAGCAGUCAGAGGGCCCGACAUCUUUCAGCAGAGAUGAGGCUGCCCCAAACGAAGAGAAGACACUGACUAACCGCAAGACGCAACAGGGAGAUGGAGAGAUGGAGGCUGGGGUGAAUAGAGGAGGAGGGCGGAGCUAAGCAUCCACAGAGAAUGGGAGGGGAGGGACGUGAGCCAGAAAGACGGAUGGAUAAAGGAGGGAGGGUAGACUAGGGUGCUGAUAUGAGAAAUGUGCUAUGGGGAGUUAAGGAAAGGAACAGUGAAGAAAAACAGGCCCAUACAUAUGAUAGUUUGUAUCUGUUCUUUGUAAACACUGGUCCGAAUGGCACAACCCUUCGCGUAAACGCGCACAAACUAUUCUUCCUUGUGGAGAUGUUAACCCUUCACCCCGUUGUCAAUUUAGCCUACGUUCUUGCGAUUACAUAUUUUUCUGCCUUCGGUCGAAUCGUCUUUUCUCAAAACCAAGUUUCGAGCCUCUAUUGGCGUGGAGGCGGGGCUUUAUCUCUGAAUUGUCAAUAUUAGCCUUUCCAUGCGCUGCUUUACCAAUGUAGUCCUGGAGAGAAGUUUAAGAAUUGUAUAAACUACGCUAAAUGUGUACAUUUAAACAGAAUAAUAAACUGUUAUUCCCAGGUGGCACCGUCACUGUUGCCAUGGUCACAGAUAUUGAUUACAUUUUAACGUGUUCUGGUGAGUUAGACAGGGGAUAAUUACCAUUUUGCUCUUAAAGCCUAGGGACAUGAACCUAUAAACUUUUAUAAACCUUUACCGCAUGUGAAUUUCGGUUUUUUUUGCCACCACAAUAACGGCAAUUUACAUUAACUACAUAUUAAAUUAACAUCGAUAGUAAUUUAUUUGUUAAAUAAACCAUAGUACACACUGUGCGCUGAUAGGGCUGGCGACCCGUGAGUCUGCCAUGUUUGGACUCUGGUCACCCUUCACCUGGGUGGAGAUUAUGUUGAUGCGGGAUAUAAUGCCGCAAUAAGCAAAACACGCUAAACGUUCAUCAAUAUCUGUGUCUGUGACCAUGGCAACAGUGACGUCUAAGCAACUUGUGAAUAACACUUUAUUAUUCUGUUUACAGUUUUUCUCAAUUGAUUUGGUACAUUUCUCCAAACUCAGGUAACUACUCUCAAAACAUUUAACACGGUGAUGUGUACACUUUGUAAUUGUCCUUAAACCAAUUUUCCUUAAUUUCAUACAAAUUACAAAUCAAAUGCAUCAUUUUCUCAAAACACUGUGCACAAAAUUCCCUAAUGUUAUCACAGCAGUUCAUACAGACAACUCAUUGUUAUACACCUGAACUCCUCAUUAAAGAACUU
ensembl:lncRNA